AGGAGACUUUGGAAUUGUUGGAGUUCUGUGUUGGAAGACAUUCCUUGUCGCUCUUGAAAAUCUUGGUGCCAGCCUCAGAAGAAAGACCGAGGGUUGAAUGAAUGAUGGAGGUUUGCAGAAAUUGGGAAAUGCCCCAGCUGGGAUGCAUACAUCCCUCCUGCAUGCAUCUGGGUAUUGGCGUAAUCAAGCCCGAGUGGGAGCUGCUGGGUGCUCGAAUGCUCGGUCCCAGAGGUCAUGAUCCGAAAUGUCAGGGCUUGUACGUUAUUAUUUAUCAUUACUAUUGCAGUAGUAUUUGGAGACCUCAAGGGAGACUAGGUACUGUACAUCCACAGAGAGAUAAUUCCUCCUGCUCUUAACUGCUCGCAAUCUCAAUCGAGAACACAGAGGAAAGGAGGACUCCUAUCUCUGAGUGGCAGAUGGAGAAGCUGAGGUCCAGAGAGAUUUAAGUAAACUGCAGAGUGGACAGGUGCAGAGACUCUCUGUUCUAGCAAGAAAGCAAAGAACAGAGCCGUGUCAUCCAGCACCUGUGAACGGGGUACACCAUCCUGGUCAGAAAUCUUACAGAAGAUGAGAACCGAUCUCCGAGGAAAAGUCCGUGGUUCCAAGAAGUGUCGCUGCUGAAUGUUUGAUUCCUUCCCCGGCACCGAGGGCGGCCCGGGAUGUUAAUUUUUUUUAUCCGCAGCAUAUGGCAGCCUGUCCCAAGUGGCAUAACAGCCCCUCGCCCAGGCGAGCCUUUCCGAGUGUGGGCAGAAGCAUUUCAGAUGCUCGGAACAUGAAAAACCAGGAGUCUUAGGCCAGUGUGGUUGGCAGAAAGAGCAGCAGUGGGAGCCUCUGCUGGUAGAAGCCUGAGCACAGCACUCCCAGUGCGGCUUCCCUGGGGCUAAACGUACAGAAGGGGGGGGGGGAGUGGAAAAUGCUAGAAAAAUGAAGUCCCGCAACACGUGACUCAAAAUGGCAAUGGGCCAGAUUCUCUUUUCUACCAAGGCCCCUUUUUGCUGCUCCAGGAGGGCCGUGAAGUAGACUGAAAUUACAUUUACACACCCUUUAAGAGCUCUUUGCACAGUUAAAGAACUGGAAAGGGGUCCUAGAGUGAAUAAGAAUCAGGACAAAUAGGUCUGACCCUCUUCAUGCUUUGGCCUGACUAAUUCCAUUGAUUUGAAUGGGGAUUAUUCCUGAUUUACACCAGGGUGAGAUAAGAAUCAGACUGAUAUAAUAUUAGGGUUGGAUUUUCAUUUACACACAGGCUCUGGCAGUGCAAAGGGGCUUUGCAACAGGUGUAUAUUGCAGUUACAUUCACUCUACAUUUCACUGCCAGAAUGGUGUAAAGAAGCUGUGCUACAAAUGAGAAUCUCGGCCUAUGGUCUCUGAAUGCUGUGUAAAGGGGAUUUGCUCUAAUUAGACGGAGGCCCCUAAUAUUGUCUGUUGUCCUGUCCUGUCUGGAGCAAUGUGGCAGAUUUACAGGUACACAUCCGUUAAGGGCCAGAUCCUUAUCUCAUGUACUUCAUCCUCAGAACUGAUGGACCGCAUCCAUCUAUCACAGAAGGAGCUGUGAGUUGCAAAGGAAGCAAAAUCAAGUCUUUAAUAUGUAUUAUUGAAUUCUACUUAAAACCGAGUUUCGUCACUUAGAGAGAGAUCCUCAAAUGGUGUGAACUGGGGUGGUAGUUUCAUUGAAUCUGGUGGUUAGGUGGAUUUGCACCAGCUGAGGAUCUGAACGUUUUAAAUAUUUGUCUUUCUAAUGUUUUAUUUUUUUCUGUUUUGGGCUGAUGCAUUACGGUGGAUGAACUGCAUCUAGCAGCAGUAGCGUUGGUGAUGACAGCUACAGGGAAACAUAUUCGGUUUUGUUAUUUUAAUUGUUAGACUCUCUGUCUGUUUGAGCUGGUUGGGAAAUGACUUUCAUUUUCCUGGUGGAAAUGUUGUCAAAAUAAUUUUUCUAAAAUUUUGGGGGCUUCCUUCAAAAAAACACAAAUGAUUUUCAGUUGCCAAUUUUAAAAUAAUUUUUUUUCUUUUAACACUGACGUUUUUCACUUUUCCAGCAAAUACAGUUGUCAUUUUUCCAUGAGAAAUUCCAUUUCGUCAAAGCCACUUGGUGUAGGGGGAAAAAGUUUUGAUGCACGUGUCUGAUCAGUUCUGUCUAGCUGUCUAUCCUGUACCUAAUCAGAAAAUGCUGCUUUUUUCCUGUGCAUCCCAACAUAAAACUCAGCAAACAAUUUUUCCAUUUCAUUGGUGAGGCAAACUUUUUUUUUUAAAUCAUAGUUUAUAUGAAAGAUAAUUUACAAAAUAAUUUAGGCUCAUAAAGGAUGAGCAAAGCUUUCAAUGGUGGCUAAAUCAACUGGCACAGUGUUCAUCAAAUCACCUCCGCUUAUAAUCAUGUCUCAUAAUGAUCUGUAAUGCCUUCUACUAAUUUGCUUAUAAAUGUCUAUAGCACAGACUGCUCAUGUUUGUACUAUGCCUAUAACAUUAACGUGUCCUUUACUAACUCUUUAUAUACUGUUUAUAAAUGUAUCUGAAUCUAAAGUAUGCCCAAAAGGGGGGAAAAUAUUGUAACCAACUGAGAACAAGCCCUCUUCAACAAUGCAUGUUUUUUUAAAACAAAAAUACAUGUAUAUAUUCUAUAUCAGCACAGCACAACUUUUGAUUAAUCAAAACCAUGCCAAAAUCCAACUGUGAAUAUACCGUAUGCAUUUCUGAUUUAUUGUAUUCGCUAUCGAUGACCAUAAAGGUUAGAGCCUCCACCCCAAUAGAGCUGAAAAGGCCAUCGUGUAUUCUCAGGUACAGGAAGCUUAAAUAUAAAAUCCAUGCACAACAGACAUACAGAUACCGCUCCCUUUAUUGCCUUAAGCAUAACCUUAUAAAUUAAAGGUGAAAACACCUUAGUACCAGCCGUGCUCUGAGUUUAGUAGGAGUUCUUCAGUUGAGUUCAAUAGACUUGAUUCUCAUUUACACUGAAGACUGCUUAAUAAUAAUAAUUAAUAAAUCUAGCUCUUAUAGCACUGUUCAGCAGUAGAUCUCAAAGCACUUUAGAAAGAAGGUGAGUAGCACCAUUCCCAUUUUACAGAUGGGGGAAACUGAGGGGAAGUGACAUGCCCAAGGUCACCCAGAAGCCCCACACCACUCUGGCAGUGUGAAGAGGUACCAUAGUGAGGGUAACUGUACUUCACAUCCACUUUAAGGCUUUUUACACGGAUGGAACACUGUGAAGGGGUCUUAAUGUAAAUGCCACUUGGGUGCAACUAUACUGAUUUGGGAUUAUAUUACCUUCCUAUUGCACUGUUGUAAAUGAGUGUACAAGAUGCUGGAUGAAUCUGGUUCUUGGCCUUUAAUUGCCGGCAUGUAAACAGCAGUAAAAGGAGAGAAGGGAACACCCAAACUAAUCCUUUUCAAAGGGAAAUGUGGGGUGCUAUGUGUGUGGGGAGGGAAAUUUGGCUCCUAUUCAAAUAGAAUAAAAUAAAUCCCUAUAUAGAAUCUCAGAUGAUAACUCAGGUUAUAUCCAUUUCAGGCUGAGGAGUUUGCCAUCUCUUCUGUUCCUGCAGAGGUUGGCGUGGGUGAUGUAUCUGUUAUAAACAGAUUUUUGUUGCUUUUUAGUUAAUUUCUGCAGGCAUAUCUCUUCCUUCCCUCCCUACCUGUCCCUGGCAUGAUCUUUUUCUCACUGAAAGCUUUUGUGUGUGUUCUUUGUUCCUUGUUAAUCACACCAAUCUUACCUAAAGGCAGAUUAAUUAAAAUAAAGCAGCCAGCCCAAAAAUAAAUCCACAAACAAAUAAAAAUGUUGAUAUC